AUUGAACGCUGGCGGCAUGCCUUACACAUGCAAGUCGAACGGUAACAGGUCUUCGGAUGCUGACGAGUGGCGAACGGGUGAGUAAUACAUCGGAACGUGCCCAGACGUGGGGGAUAACGAGGCGAAAGCUUUGCUAAUACCGCAUACGAUCUAAGGAUGAAAGCAGGGGACCGCAAGGCCUUGCGCGUUUGGAGCGGCCGAUGGCAGAUUAGGUAGUUGGUGGGAUAAAAGCUUACCAAGCCGACGAUCUGUAGCUGGUCUGAGAGGACGACCAGCCACACUGGGACUGAGACACGGCCCAGACUCCUACGGGAGGCAGCAGUGGGGAAUUUUGGACAAUGGGCGAAAGCCUGAUCCAGCAAUGCCGCGUGCAGGAUGAAGGCCUUCGGGUUGUAAACUGCUUUUGUACGGAACGAAAAGGCUCUAGCUAAUACCUGGGGCACAUGACGGUACCGUAAGAAUAAGCACCGGCUAACUACGUG
rnacentral:rRNA from 1 species